ACGAACGCUGGCGGCGUGCUUAACACAUGCCAGUCGAACGGAAAGGCCCUGCUUUUGUGGGGUGCUCGAGUGGCGAACGGGUGAGUAACACGUGAGUAACCUGCCCUUGACUUUGGGAUAACUUCAGGAAACUGGGGCUAAUACCGGAUAGGAGCUCCUGCUGCAUGGUGGGGGUUGGAAAGUUUCGGCGGUUGGGGAUGGACUCGCGGCUUAUCAGCUUGUUGGUGGGGUAGUGGCUUACCAAGGCUUUGACGGGUAGCCGGCCUGAGAGGGUGACCGGCCACAUUGGGACUGAGGUACGGCCCAGACUCCUACGGGAGGCAGCAGUGGGGAAUAUUGCACAAUGGGCGGAAGCCUGAUGCAGCAACGCCGCGUGCGGGAUGACGGCCUUCGGGUUGUAAACCGCUUUCGCCUGUGACGAAGCGUGAGUGACGGUAAUGGGUAAAGAAGCACCGGCUAACUACGU
rnacentral:rRNA from 1 species